UGCCAGCCGCCGCGGUAAUACGUAGGGUGCAAGCGUUGUUCGGAAUCACUGGGCGUAAAGAGAGCGUAGGCGGAUUGGUAAGUUAGGAGUUAAAUACAUGGGCUUAACCCGUGGCCUGCUUCUAAUACUGUCAAUCUUGAGUAUGGGAGAGGAUGAUGGAAUUCCAGGUGUAGCGGUGGAAUGCGUAGAUAUCUGGAAGAACACCAGUUGCGAAGGCGGUCAUCUGGCCCAAUACUGACGCUGAGGCUCGAAAGCUAGGGGAGCGAACAGGAUUAGAUA
rnacentral:rRNA from 1 species